GGUGGAUGCCUAGGCAGUCAGAGGCGAAGAAGGACGUGGACAGCUGCGAAAAAGCUCCGGGGAGCCGCUAACAGGCUUUGAUCCGGAGAUCUCCGAAUGGGGCAACCCGCGCAGGGACUACCUGCCAGUCGGCGGUGAAUACAUAGCCGUCAGACAGCCAAGCCAGGGAACUGAAACAUCUUAGUACCUGGACGAAAAGAAAUCAAAAGAGACUCCCCAAGUAGUGGCGAGCGAACGGGGACCAGCCUAAACCCGUGGAGGUCAAACUCCCCGGGGGUCGUGGGGUCUGCGAUGUGGGACUCGAGAAGCUAGACGAACGGCAUGGAAAGGCCGGCCAUAGCGGGUGACAGCCCCGUAGUCGAAAGCGGACAGAGCCCUAGCGGAUACCCGAGUACCGCAGGACACGAGAAAUCCGGCGGGAAUCUGGGAGGACCAUCUUCCAAGGCUAAGUACUCCUGACUGACCGAUAGUGAACUAGUACCGCGAGGGAAAGGUGAAAAGAACCCCGGUUAGGGAGUGAAAUAGUACCUGAAACCGUGUGCCUACAAGCAGUGGGAG
rnacentral:rRNA from 1 species